AGAUUUGUAAAACCUCUUCAAUGAGUAAUUCUAUGCUAGAAGUUCCACAUUGUGUGUGUGUUACACCCCAUUGCAGCCAAUAAAUAGAGGCAAAUGAGAUCUGAGAUGGCAGUAAGGGUUUUAAGGAAAGCCAAUGCAUUCCUUUAAACCAGCAUGAAGGCAAGGCGAUGACUAGUGCAUUUUUAAAGGGGCAGGGGAGCGGAUGUCUGGUUUUGGCAGAUUAUUCAGUGUCCCUCCCCCUGAGCUUGAGCCAGCUUCUUUUACCCCUGGCCUGCAUACCACUUGAGAGCUCCUAAUAUAGACCCAACUGCUUCAUAGGAAAGGGCAGCAAACUAAGCGGAGUCCCCAGCAGUUUGAGUUUGCUGCUUUGAAAUCAACUUUUUCAUGGACACACCAACAGAAUUAUGGAGCCUCCCUCACAGGUGUUACUCCCAGAAAGAGACGGGGAAAUUAAAGAAACAAGAGGCUGAUGCCACAGUCUACAUGAAUUUCAUGAAAAGUCACUGCUGCUAUGAUGCCAUUCCAACCAGCUGUAAACUGGUCAUAUUUGAUACCACGCUACAAGUGAAAAAGGCCUUUUUUGCACUGGUGGCAAAUGGCUUGAGGGCUGCGCCUUUAUGGGACAGCAAGCUGCAGAGAUUUGUGGGUAUGCUGACUAUUACGGAUUUCAUCAACAUCCUCCAUUGCUAUUACAAGUCCCCUUUGGUUCAAAUGUAUGAGCUGGAGAACCACAAGAUUGAGACAUGGCGAGGUGAUUCAUUUCAAAACAUCUACUUACAGUGUUCCAAUCACUUCCUCGUUAGUAUUUCCCCAGAGGCCAGCCUCUUUGACGCCAUCUAUUCCUUACUCAAAUAUAAGAUCCACAGGCUGCCAGUCAUCGACCCAGAGUCUGGAAAUGUCCUGCACAUUCUCACCCACAAAAGAAUCCUCAAGUUUCUCCAUAUAUUUCAGAAAAAAGUUCCCAAGCCUGCAUUCAUUGGAAGGCAGAUCCAGGAGCUUGGGAUUGGGACGUUCAGGAACAUCGCCACUGUUCAGCAAACAGCAUCACUUUAUGAUGCCCUCUCCAUUUUUGUGGAAAGGCGAGUGUCUGCACUACCUGUGGUGGAUGAACAAGGCAAAGUGGUGUCACUCUACUCAAGAUUUGAUGUGAUUAAUCUAGCAGCCCAGAAGAUGUACAACAAUCUGGACAUGCCGAUGCAGGAGGCCGUUCGCAGGCGCUCAUGUUUUAUUGAGGGAGUAAUCAAGUGCUACCCUGAUGAAACCUUGGAAAUCAUCAUAGACCGUAUAGUCAACGCUGAGGUAGGUGUUUCCCUUUGAAUGAGUUUGGUCUCAGAUAUUUCUCAUGAAAUCAGACAAUCUGAAAACCACGGGAGAAUGUUCUCUUCUUGUCCUUUCCAGGUCCAUCGGCUGGUCCUGGUGGACCGGGCUGAUGUGGUGAAGGGCAUCAUCUCUCUGUCUGACCUGCUGCAGGCCAUGGUCUUAACCCCUGCAGAAAUCAACUUGUGACUGCAAUGAGAGACCACAAAAGGAAGAAAAAUCCUCUGGCUGUACUGCUGUUUACAUGAAGAUGUCUUCCAUGAUUUAUGUGCCGUAUUCAAGUAACUAUAAAAGGACAGGGAGCCAACCUUGAACAUGUACUGAAUCUCUAUAGCUUUCCAAGCACAAUGUCCAUAUUGGCUGCAUUUGAUCAAAUUGAUCAUUAUGUGUUUAUGCAACACUGUAUAUUUCUGUAUUAAACAUUUGUAUCAAAACUUGUGUGUGUGUGUGUGUGUGUGUGUGUGUGUGUGUGUGUGUGUGUGUGUGUGUGUGUGUGUGUGUGUGUGUGUGUGUGUGUGUGUGUGUGUGUGUGUGUGUGGUCUUUUCAAUAUUACAUCUAAAUGUCUUUCAUUUAACUUUGUAUGCCCUGGUCUGAUUAGUUCUUUGACUUUAUUUGUGUAACAUUUAACUGUAAAGUUGUCGGUAUAGUUAGCAAAACAUAUCUAACAUAAUGUUCAGAAAAUGUGUUUUUACGCCCUCUAGCGGCUACGUACAGUAACUACAACUACAUACAUGUCAAGUUAGAUUUAUCGCAUAAGAAAUCAUUUUCGGUUACAUCCUUCAAAAUAAAACAUUCAUAUAAGUAAAGAUCCUCUAUACUAAA